rnacentral:rRNA from 1 species
AAUCAACGCUGGCGGCGUGCCUCAGACAUGCGAGUCGAACGAUUAAAGCUCUCUUCGGAGAGUGCAUAGAGUGGCGCGCGGGUGAGUAACACGUAAGUAAUCUACCCUCGGGUGGGGAAUAACGUCCGGAAACGGACGCUAAUACCGCAUAAUGCAGCGGCACCGCAAGGUGACAGUUGUUAAAGAUUUAUCGCUUGAGGAGGAGCUUGCGGCAGAUUAGCUAGUUGGUAAGGUAAUGGCUUACCAAGGCUACGAUCUGUAACCGGUCUAAGAGGACGGUCGGUCACACUGACACUGAAUAACGGGUCAGACUCCUACGGGAGGCAGCAGUCGGGAAUUUUUGGGCAAUGGGCGAAAGCCUGACCCAGCAACGCCGCGUGAAGGAUGAAGUAUUUCGGUAUGUAAACUUCGAAAGAAUAGGAAGAAUAAAUGACGGUACUA